rnacentral:tRNA from 1 species
GCCGAGGUGGCGUAGUUGGUAGCGCGUCGGACUCAUAGGGUAACAUUCAGCGGGGAUUCAUUCCCUGCAGAUACAUCGAUGAGCGCAACAGCCUAACUGAAGAUUGUCUGAGACAUCCGAAGGUCGAGGGUUCAAGUCCCUCUCUCGGCA